CCCCCUUGGUCUAACUAACGUUAGCUAGCUACUGGUAGCUGCAGACCAAAUAUAUGAGCUGACUAGCAUGAAAGUUAAGCAUUGCACUGUACUUGUGCAUGUAACAAUAUAACUUCAACUAGUUGACAACCACAUUACCUUUCGCAAGGUAAUAAUACUGUUGGAAAAUCCACGUUUGUAAUGAUUCAUCCGUUUAUCCUUAAGAAACUCCAAAACCACUAGAUAUACAAUGAUUUGAAUAAACUGGCUUGCCAACUUGUUAGUUUCUUCUCGGUGUUGUUGCCCCCACUAUCGUGCUUUGUAGAGGCCCGCUUGUAAAGACACGUUUCCAUGCAAACGGCGCCUGCACCAUUUUCAACUCCCUUACUCGGUUGCACACCGGCCCCACGAGAAGGCAAGCCGUCCACAAUAAUGUGAGCGUUUAUGUCCUAAUUCGCUCAUAAAGCACACAGACUGAUUGCCAAUUGUGAAAAUUAGGCCACCCCGAUUUUGAUGCAAGGGGAAGAAAAGUUCCUGAAAAGAAAAGAAAAGCUGGAAGCAGGUUGAAACAUUUGUCAUGUGCAUACACAUUUUACACUCCCACAUUGAUGCAUUAAUUAUCUUGGCCAGGUCGCAAUUGUAAAUGAGAACUUGUUCUCAACUUGCCUACCUGGUUAAAUAAAGGUGAAAUAAAUCAAUAAAAUGAGGUUCCCUAGCUGUAAGUUAUAAAUUCCAUAUAAACAGAAGAAACAGUAGUCAGAAACGCAGCGCGGGCCGCACAGCUGGGCCGUUGAGUGCGCGUGCCGGGUUUGAGCGAAUACAACCAACUGUCAUCUACACCAUUUACUAAAUCAUUCUUAACCGAGGACUACGAGACAAGGUGAAAAUGGACAGGCACCUGUAAGAUUCCUAUCUGCCCAUGACCCUUGAGGAUCACACAACCAUAGUGAGCAAUUGGCCUUUUUACUCAAAAGGACCCCCCCCCUCACAACAUGAUCAUUCUCCUCCCCUCUCUCUAACUUCAAAUCCAUCUGUAUACUUCCUACCAACUCUUCUUUCUCUCUGCCUGGUGAGUUGUAGUUGAAUACUUUUAAUGGCA
rnacentral:lncRNA from 1 species